UUAUUUUCAUUAAUUAUGCUUUAUUGCUACCACAUGUCCACAAAAUCCGGCCAUUCCAUCUAGAAAUCACCUAUGGGCUGUAGUAUUACCAUCAAUCAGCCAUUACAAUCAUUUCAUACAUUAUUUUAUGGAUCUAAGAGAGAGAAAUGUACCAUUUUUGGCCUAUUUAUUCACAAGCACUUAGCUUCAUUCUCUCAAGCUUAAACCUACGAAAUUUCCUUACCAUAUCAGUCUAUAAUCAAGCCCCAUUCACACCAACAAUAAAUCAGAAGCAUCAAAGGAUCAAAAUCAAGAAAUCAAAGCUAGAAAAGGUAAAAACCCUAAAUUCUAGAAAUCCUUCGAUUCGAUGUUAAUUGGUGCAAUUGAUUGUUUAAAGUUGUGUAAUAGGGAGUCUAUUAAUGUUCUGGGUUGUUAAAUUCAGGACCCAUAACAUCAAAGUGCUCAAAAUCAAAGUUUUUCCAACUUUUGUAAAACCGAAUUCUGUUAUUUUUGGGCAAAUGUCAAGCCUUAUAUCUCUGUGGUUAUUUACUGUUUUUGGUGUUUGUAAGAUGUUAUGUGUAGCUUGUUAUGAGGUCUUUAAGAUUCAAAAAGAAUCAAGGCCAUAUCUAUUAUAGAUCACAAGUUAUAAUCAGUCAAACAGGGUUGACCAAAACUGCAAAACCAGCGAAUCCAGAAAUUUCUUGAGUGCUGUCCGUGGUCGACUUUGACCAGUAAUUUCUAGUUCGAUCUGAUGUUAUUAUGAUGAUGUUAAGGUUUGUAGUUGUAGUCCUACAUGUUGUCUACACACUAGAAGUGAUAGAGCACAAAAAUGUUACACGAUCACCAAGUUAUAGAGGUCCAAAGUAGGCACCUCGAAGCUGUUUUUCGUGAAGAACAGCUUUGGCAGCUACUUUGAGGUUCGUUUUCUCCCAGAUCUGAUGUUGUUUAGAGGUUAUGUUUGUUGGAUCUUGUAGUCUUGUAUUUCCUCUACAAGACCCAAUUUAUAGAUUGUCCAAAUUCGUUAAGAUGAGAGAGUUAUUCACGGUCAAAGUAGCCCACUCGGUUCUGCCUUAUGAAGAUCUGGGUAGGCUCAAGAACACCUAUAGCGACGGUUCUGUCACUAUAGGGGCCUUUAGCGACAGUUUUAAUUAUUUUUAAUUUCUGAUUUUCCGGAAAUUAAUUUAAAAAUUAGAAAAAUUAGUUUUUAAUUAUUAAAAAUACCAAAUAAAUUAUGAAAAAUUAUUUUAAAGUCUGAAAAAUAGUUUUUAAUUAUUUUGAGUAUAUUUCAUAAAUAUUUAAUAUUUUUGAAAUAUAAAAGGUAUUUAUUUAUUUAAUUAUAAUAUUAAAUAAAUGAUUUAAAAAUAGUUUUAAUUCAUGAAAAAUCAUGAAAAAUUAUUUUAUGGUAUAAGAAAAUAUUUUGAGUUAUUUUCCAUGACUUUUAAUAUUUUGUGAUGAAUUUCAUUAAUUAAUUAUAUAUUAAUGAUAUUAAAGUUAUUUAAUGAUUAUAUUAAAUAAUUUAGUUUAAAAAUGAUUUUAAUAUUAUAAAAAUCAUUUUAAAUGAAAUUAAGGUAUUUAAAAAUAUUUUAAGUUAUAAAAUAUAACUUUUAAUAUUUAAAGGAUAAUUUCAUUAAUAAUUUAAUAUUAAUGAUAUUAAGAUAAUAUUAAUGAUAUUUAGUUUAUUUAAUAAUUAUUAUUAAAUAAAUAGUUUAAAAAUGGUUUUAUUUAUUUAAAAAUCAUUUAAAGAGGAUAUUAAGGAUUUAAAAAUAUUUUAAGUUAUAAUUAAUGACUUUUAAUAUUUGGAUGAAUAGUACAUUAAUAUUUAUAUAUUAAUGGUGAUUAUUUAAAAAUGAUUUUAAUUGUUUUAAAAAUCAUUUAAGGGUAAUAUAAAUGUUUUAAAAAUAGUUUGAGUUAUUAUAAAUAACUUUUAUAUUUUGGCAAUGGUUUCAUUAAUAGUUUAAUAUAAAUUAAUUAUUAAUGAUAAUGGAAUUGUUUAAUGUUUAAAUCAUUUAAUUAUGAUUCCGAUGUUUGAAAGUUAUAGCCGGCCAAACUAGCUGACUUGAGAACCGAUUAUGAAGUUAUGAAGUUUUGAGGAACACCUAUAGUAACAGUUAUAUCACUAUAGGCCCGGUAGUGACAGAUUUGAAUUAUUUUAAAUUUUUCAAUUUCUGGAAAAUUCGAAAAUGAUUAAAAAUAAAAUGUUUGAUAUUUACAGAUGUUGAGGUAUAGGAUAAGAGUCUUAGACUCAGUAUUUACCCGAUAAAGCUGUCGGUACGCCGACAAAUGUCAGACCCUAUAAUAGAAAGAAAAGACUUCUGUAAGAGCAUGGAUGAGAUAUUUGAAAAAUGUAUAAAAAUAUUUCAAGUAUAGAAUAUGAACUAAAAGUAUGAUCACUGCGAUUAUGUGAUGACGUGAUUAGACUAUGUGCUGACUGUAAUAGACAGUACUAUGUGUUAUGAUAUAUUGUUCUAAUCGAACGAAUGAUCUGAUUAUUGAUAGGUUGUGAUAAAGAGAUAAAACCUAAGUUGAGAUUUGUAAUCAGCGAAUCAGGCAAGUAUCUUACCUUUGCAUUUCCUUUAUGCAAUGGACAUGAGUAAGAAGUUUCAGAAUUAUUCUAUUCCUGUACAGAUUAUGUACGCUUUGAUUAUCAACAUGUUAGCU
rnacentral:lncRNA from 1 species